rnacentral:rRNA from 1 species
GGGGAAUAUUGGACAAUGGGGGCAACCCUGAUCCAGCCAUGCCGCGUGAGUGAUGAAGGCCUUAGGGUUGUAAAGCUCUUUUACCUGGGAAGAUAAUGACGGUACCAGGAGAAUAAGCCCCGGCUAACUUCGUGCCAGCAGCCGCGGUAAUACGAAGGGGGCUAGCGUUGUUCGGAAUCACUGGGCGUAAAGCGCACGUAGGCGGAUCUUUAAGUCAGAGGUGAAAGCCUGGAGCUCAACUCCAGAACUGCCUUUGAUACUGGGGAUCUCGAGUCCGGGAGAGGUGAGUGGAACUGCGAGUGUAGAGGUGAAAUUCGUAGAUAUUCGCAAGAACACCAGUGGCGAAGGCGGCUCACUGGCCCGGUACUGACGCUGAGGUGCGAAAGCGUGGGGAGCAAACAGGA